GGCCUGGUGGUCUAGAGGUAUGAUUCCUUCUUAGGGUUUAUCUCACUAUCUGGAGGAGGUCCCGGGUUCAAUUCCCGGCUAGGCCC
rnacentral:tRNA from 1 species